AUAAAUAAAAAUAAAAAUAAAUAAAUAAAUAAAAUAUAAUAGAAAAAACUUGGACUUAGACCUCUCUCAUUUGAGCCCAGAAAGCCAUGAAAAUCAGGUUAUAAAAGGGGGAGAUCAGACAGAAAAAGGAAGAGAAGCAAAAUACUCUGAGGUUUCCUUGAAACAAAACCCUGGACAAAACCUGGAGAGGAACCUGAUAGAGAACUUAGAGCAA
rnacentral:lncRNA from 1 species